UCCCUUAUUAUGGUUGCCUUCAAUUGUGCUAUGAACAGGUGAGGAGCCUCUAUUCUUUGGUUCAGAAAGAAAGCUUUGAAUGGAAGCAGGGAGGGCUAGUUUGAAUCUGAUAGGAUUAGACAAAGAGAGGAGCUAUACCUGAGCCUGGUCACAUCUUAAAGACAGGAAGGAAGAGGAUAUGCCCCCCAUGUUUUUUUGAUAACAUCUGUUUUCUCCACUAUAAUUACAGAUAUGAGAAAUGAAGCAAGGGCUGUGCAGAACUUGGAAGACACAACUUCAGUUUAGUAAAGAUUUUACUGAAACAUCAUAACCAACCUGACUAAAGCAGCUCAAGUGAAUGCUUUGACUCGAAACACCGCUCAUAUACCUUAGUAAAAAGCACUGAGUCCAAUGGAGUUGUUCCAAUGGUUUGGAUCAAAAUGAUCCUUUGGCCAGAGCAGAGCAAUUUUGUACCAUCCUAGCAUCAACCUACAGAAGAGGAAAAUAUACUUCAAAGAAGAAUCAAGGAAUGUGGAAGGGAAGGUGGAGAAGAAAAAGGAAUCCUCUGUGAAGAUUCUGAGAUGGAACCUUUUAGAAAUUAUUUUUGAUUUCCUCUUUUGAGUUACUCUAAGGCCUAAAUGUGUCAUACAAAACUUUCUUACCUUGGGGAAAAAAGCCUUCUGUUCUCUGAGGUAUUCUCAGGAUGCUUUGGAAUUUAUUUAGGAUUUUAUGUUUGUAAAAUGAUGAGAUUCCUCUACAUCUUCAUCUUGCUGCAGUUUCUUCCCUCCCUCUGCUUCCCAAUUUGAAAAGACUCUUGGGAAGGGUUUUCCUAGAACAGCAUUGUCAAACUCACAUUGUCACAGCGGCAUCAUGUGACCUAUCAGGACAUUUUUUCCCUUCUCUAAACUGGGUGUGGGCGUGGCCAGCGCAUGACGCAUCUGGCCUGCGGACCAGGAGUUUCACAGUCCUGUCCUAGAAAGUCUUGCAUAAAAUACAGGAAGCCAAAGAGGUUGAAGGCGUUUGGAGAUAGGACAUCAUAAUAAAUGAAAGUAAAUUGUAAA